UUUUCUUUAUCCGAAGCAUAUGAAAACUCCAUUUUUCAUUUCCCUAUAGUAGUGUUGGUCUUUCCUGGAUAUAUGUAAUUUAAUAGAUUAGAUUUGAUAGGUGGUAUUUCUGCAUUGAUAUACCAUGUUUUCAAUUUCAGUACUGGGAGGACCAUUCAUAAAACAUCAUUUGACAGUCAAGUUACCGCUAUGGACCAUGCUCACACUGGACCGAUCAUUUUCUGUGGAGAUGGGACGGGGUUUAUAUAUUCUGUCAGUAUGAAUUCUCACACAGGAGUAUUAUCCCGCUCUCAUCGGCAUCGAAGUAGCAGCAGGCAGAAAUCUCCAGUCACAACUGUGGAGUCCCGAAGUUUUUCUCUGUUGGCUCGGGGCCCUGUGUUGCUGACAUGUACUCAAGAUGGAAGUUUGUCUUUCUUCAGUGUUGCGCUGGAAAUACAAGGUUAUUUGGCUCUUCAUUGCUCACUCAAAUUAACUCCACGAAUAUACAAUAUCCGGGCUCUUCAUGGGUUAUGGAAGCUGCAGUAGUUAUGGCACUUGUCCUUGCUAAUGGGGGAGUAAGUAGUCUUAAACUAGCUAUGCACUUCCAAUUCAGGUCAAAUUAAAUAUGAAGUGUAACUUAUUCUGGAAUGAAAUGAUAUUCCAAGGUGAAGGUCCUGACUGGCAAGACUUUGUUGGGAUUAUUGUCCUAUUAAUAAUCAAUUCAACCAUUAGUUUUGUAGAGGAGAAUAAUGCGGGAAAUGCUGCAUCAGCUCUUAUGGAACGUUUAUCUCCAAAGACAAGGAUGAGUUAAAUGCCUCACUAAGCUGCACAUGAGUUAAAUGCAGACGAGUAGACCACCUACCAGAUUUGCAGCAAAGGUUUUUGUUCUUUUUUCUGCAAUAUCUUGUUCCUCAUUGAGAAUGAAGACUAGUUGCUCUUGUAAUAUGCAGCAUAAGUCUAUAUGGGGGUCAAGAAAGAUUUGUGUCUCUGCAAUGGGUCAGCAGGUUUGUGCCUCUGCAAGCUCACUGGCCAUUCCGUUUUCUAUGACCACUUCUAUGAUUUGGGUGAUUCCGUUCAUGAUCAGAUUGUGAAACUAGUACAGCAGUACAGCAGUAUAGCUAGCUAGUUCCUUUAUUAACUUGUGUCUAGUAGAAAUUUUUCAUUCAUUAAGCAUUUAGACUUGUCUUCAGAUCCAGAUUAGUAUAUAUGAGUUAUUUUGAACUGAAGUUCAUGAUUAAGUUUGUGUACAUGAGAUACUAGUGGAUUAAUGGAAAUUGCAAUGAAUGAUUUUGAAUGUGGA